AUUUUCCUGAGAUCCCUAAUUUCAUGUUUCUGAGUUGGUUCGAUUGCUUCCUGACAAGUGACCACACAACUUUAGUGAAUUUCAUGGAGAUUAUCAAAUUUGCUGUGAUAGUGCUGCCUCUUUUGCUUACGAGUGCCUCUCCACGACCUUCUGGUUUUUCUUCCUGUGAAGUCUUGUCUUGGUUGAUCUUGUCUGUCCUUGUCUCUAUAGCCCAAGGGUGUGACCAGGAUCGUCAUGAGGAGGAAAAGGAAGCUAAGUGAAGAUUUAAGUCCCAGAGUUUCCAACUUGGGUAGUCAAGAUGAGUGGUGUCCUGAGAAUGACUCUCAGGAAUGAUUCAGCUGAGGUCGCGAAUGUGACUUUACAGAUGAUGUUGCGAUUUGAGGGCAUCAUUCUUCGGCAAAUUUUGUUCAGAAUUUUGAGGAAAUCGAGAGUCGGGAUGAUUGGGUAUGCUUGUCAUAGGGGAGUUGUGCACUGAUUGAGGAUUUGAAUCGAGUUUUGGCAUCUUCUGGUUUGAGGAUUCCUCGGUCGAAAGCUGAUCAGUCAGUUGAAGAUUCUUCAUCAAGGCAAGUGAUUGUGGAUUCUUUGAAAGAUUAGAUCGAGCUUGAGAUUCAUUAUGUUGUCAGUGAGUUUGUAUUUGAAGGAGCCAUACUUCGGAAGACGAUUGAUGAGGUCAGAGUUGUUGCUUUCUUCCUGUGUGGAUUGUUGGAAGAUCUUUUACAAUUGAUAAUUCCAAAGCUAAGCUAUGAUUCUAAGACUAAUAAUGCCCUAUUUUGUUUACUUCAUGCUUUGAGGAUGGUGUCGCGAGCUUGGAAGAAAUGGUUGACUGAGGAUAGGAAGGAUUUUGUAGAAAUUGAACAUGAUGAGAAUAUGUAUGCUAUUACUACUGCUAUAGAAUGGGAUUUAUUAGUAGAGGCUUACCGAUACGAGCAACAGCUAGAGGAGAUGAGGUGAAAUUAGGUAGUUGUCUUCAGUCUUCAGGAUUGUGCUUCUUCCAUGGAAAUAUUUAACCUUGAUCUGAAUUUGUCGAAUAGACCUCCUCCCAGUGGUUUUGUGAAGAUGUCGGCUACUUGAUCUAGAGAAGGCACAUAUAUCAAGUUGAUUUCUCCUGUUUCAAUUCUCUCCCUUGUGAAAUGGUGAUGUGUUCGUAUGUGUUUGCCAGGUGAUUGGACUUGUUCCCAUUUUGAAUACAAAACCUAUUGUUGAUUGACCAUCAGAUAAGUCACCUGCCCAGUUAGUGUCCACAAACUUUGAUAGUGUUGUUGUUGAAUUUUUGUUGUGGAGAAUUCCAUAGUCUAAUGUUCUCGUGAUGUAUCUCAAGAUUCUUUUGGCUGCUCUUAGAUAUGGUACUUGUGGUUUCAUUAUAAAUCGACUGACAAUUCCAACUGAGUAUGAAACAUCUAGUCUGGAAUGUCCUAAUUGUAUUGCCAACUAUGGAUCGAUAAUACAUUGGAUCGACAUUUUCUGCAUUCAUGUCAAGUGUGAGUUUUACCCAUUCCACCAAGGGGGUGGAAAUUGAUUGGCAUUCUUCAUGGCCAAAAUGACGAAUUACUUGCAGGGCAUAGCUUUGUUGUGUCAUGAAUAGCCCUUUGGGGACUUUGAUUAUUUCAGCCUUGAGGUAUAGUGUCAUAUUAUUUUCACCUAGUUCUGAUAUUCAAAUUUUGGUUCAAAUUGUAAUUUGAAUCAUGUGAUGCAUUCGAUGCAGUUCCUUGUGAAUAAGAGAUCAUCUAUAUAAAGGACUAAGAGAAGGAUUUUUUCUUGGUGAUUGAUCAUACAGAGAUUGUAGUCCUCUUCUCCUUUAGUGAAGCCUUGGUUGCAAAGAAAUGAGUCAAUUUUAUCAUGCCAGGUUUUGGGUGCUUGACGUAAACCAUAGAGGACCUUGUGAAGUUUACAUACUAGAUAUUCUUGUCCUUCAAUUACAAAUCCUUGAGGUUGUGUGAUGUAGACUUCUUCUUUGAGGUCACCAUGGAGAAAUGCCGUCUUCACAUCCAUGUGGUAAAGUUGCCAUUGAUUUUUUGCAGAGAGGGCCAAAAGCAUUCGUAUAGUACCCCAUUUGACUAUUGGAGCAAAUAUCUCUUCAUAAUCAACACCUUGUUGUUCAAAUCCUCGAACUACUAAUUGUGAUUUUUUAUUGUGUAAGGUACCAUCAGGUUUCAUUUUUGCCUUGAACACCCAUUUUGUUGAGAUAGCUUGGUGCCCAAGAGGAAGCCUUGGGUAGUCGACAGCGGCAUUGGAGUCGAAACCAGCAGAUUUGUGAUUGAAUCUUCAGAACCGUCAUCGCUGGAGUUGUCAGAAUGGAUGGAGUGGCAAGGGAAGGCAGUUUCCAUUUGCAAGCUUUGGUUAGUGAGUGCGGCCUCGGGAUCAUGUGAGUUUGGAAAACUGGUUUCAUCAAAUGAGACGUCCUUUGUAAUUUAUAUUUUCUUGUAUGCGAGGAGAUAAACUCUGUAAGCCUUCGACUCAUUGUCCAGUCCGAAGUAGAUGCCGAGGUUGGAGCGCGACUCCAGCUUGUUUCGCUGUGUGUGAUCGCGGCCUACAAAGCACAAACAGCCAAAGACCUUGAGUGGACUGAGAUCGGGUGUGUUACUUGUGAAUAGUUCGUGGGGGGUGCGAUUGUUGUUCGACGUUGUCGGACUAUAGUUGAUUAGUUGGACCGCGGUGUGAGCGGCUUCUGCCCAGAGGGAGUACAAAACCUUGUCGCCGAGAAGCAUGGCUCUAACUUUGAUCAUGACAGUGCGGUUCUUUCUUUCGGAUUUCAAAUUCUAUUUGGGUGUCCGUGCUACUGUUAAUUGUCAAAUGAUACCGUGCUGGUGUAAGUAGCUAGUGAAAUCGGCCAAUAGAAACUCCCCUCCGAGGUCGGAUCUAAUGCAUAGAAUUCGAAAUGGUGUUUGUUCCUCGAUCAUUUUAUGAAAUUUCUGAAAAAAAUGCAGAGUUUGGUCCUUUGUUGUCA